UUCACUCAGGUUAAAGAAUGAAAUAUUAGUCUUGCAUCAAAUGUAUGUAAAAAUCUAGCUUUUAUAUAUUAACUUGUGAUCAGAGCAACUGGUAUGUUGGUUGGAUAUAUUACAUAUCCAUUUGAUGUUUAUCACCAGAAGUUAGUUCUACCUUUGCAGUACCUCUGCUCUACAUACCUCCUCGCUGGUUAAAGAAUGGAAUAUAAAUCUCAUAUCAAGUUGGUGUAAAAAUUUAGUGAGUAUGAAUCUGAUAUCAAUUGGAUGUACAAAGAUAGUUUACUUCUUAAAGAACCUAUCAGUAAACCAACUGAUUAUAAAACAGUUUUUAAUGGGAAUAAAAACAAAUUUUCAAAAGA